AUGGCGUCCAUCGUGGUGAUCGGCCUGGUGCUGCUCCUCGACAUCCUCGCCUUCGUCCUCGCCAUCGGCACCGAGCGCCGCCGGAGCACGGCCGGAGGCAUCGAGUUCUUGAAUCUUGACUGGGGAAACUGGGUGCAGGCGCAACUCGGCGAGGCCGAGCCUGGUGGCAGGCGGUACUGCGUGUACGACAUGGAUGCGUCCACCUGGUAUGGCGUCAGCGCGCUCGCCCUGCUGCUGGUCGGGUAG
rnacentral:rRNA from 1 species